rnacentral:tRNA from 2 species
GCGGGCGUGGCGGAAUCGGUAGACGCAAAGGACUUAAAAUCCUUCGCCAACGGCAUGCGGGUUCGAGUCCCGCCGCCCGCACCA